UGCUGAUGGGUGGAUGUGCGCAAGCCUCUGUGGACCAAGGCAGUGGUAUCAAUCCAGGACCAGAUGAACACCUUUUUACAGCAUGGAUGGAGACUGAACCAACCCCGACACAUGGAAAUGGUCCUCUCCAACUUAACAGUCAGGCACAACACUGGAGCAGCGGUAGGGAGGAGCUGAUUUGUCCCAGGGGGUUGUGGCAGGCAGCACAGCUUGCGGAGAUAUCUCGGCAAGCAGUCUCCAGGCUCCAGCAGGACCCAAGGGCCUGGGCAGAGCGAGGUGGAGCUCGGCC